UUUUCCUACGGGGGGCAGCAGUAGGGAAUCUUCCACAAUGGGCGAAAGCCUGAUGGAGCAACGCCGCGUGGGGGAAGAAGGUCUUCGGAUCGUAAAACCCUGUUGUUAGAGAAGAAAGUGCGUGAGAGUAACUGUUCACGUUUCGACGGUAUCUAACCAGAAAGCCACGGCUAACUACGUGCUAGCAGCCGCGGUAAUACGUAGGUGGCAAGCGUUAUCCGGAUUUAUUGGGUUUAAAGGGUGCGCAGGCGGUCUGUUAAGUCAGUGGUCAAAGCCCGGGGCUCAACCCCGGCCCGCCGUUGAAA
rnacentral:rRNA from 1 species